rnacentral:rRNA from 1 species
GGCUAAAUACGACCACGAGACCGAUAGCGAACAAGUACCGUGAGGGAAAGUUGAAAAGCACUUUGAAGAGAGAGUUCAAGAGUACGUGAAACCGUUUAGGGGUAAACCUGAGAAACCCGAAAGGUCGAAGGGAGAAAUUCAUUCGCGUCUCGAGGCAGGCGUCGGACGGGGUCGAGCGACGGAACGGGCGCGCGUUUUUCUUCGGAAUCGCGCGUUCGACUUCGCGCCCUCCGUCCGUUCGAACCGGCAGCGAACGCGUGCACUUUUCUCCUGGUAGGACGUCGCGAUCCGUCGGGCGUCGGUCUACGACUUGCGGCGGAGACCGUCCGUCGUUCUUCGGAACGUACGGCGCGGACCCGCUCGUUCCGGCCGACUCGCUCGACGGUACAAAUCGAGGUCUGGGGUCGCUGCUACUUUUAGUCUCGCGUUCGCGCGAGACGAAAAAGAGAGCGUUCGACUCGUCGCAAGCGCGUCACGUGCGUCGGCACGCGGACCCGGUGCCGCGUCCGAUCUCUGGCGACUGUUGGCGACGAUUAGUUCUCGAACAGACUUCCCUCUCGGGGGGGGGGAGAGAGGGGUCAAACUCUUUCUCUCUCUCUCUCGAAGACCGAUCGGCGACG